CUUUUUAACCACACUUUUGUGGAG
rnacentral:siRNA from 1 species